rnacentral:rRNA from 1 species
ACUCCUACGGGAGGCAGCAGUAAGGAAUAUUGGUCAAUGGGCGGAAGCCUGAACUAGCCAUGCCGCGUGCAGGACGACUGCCCUAUGGGUUGUAAACUGCUUUUGUCCAGGAAUAAACCUAGAUACGUGUAUCUGGCUGAAUGUACUGGAAGAAUAAGGAUCGGCUAACUCCGUGCCAGCAGCCGCGGUAAU